GGAGAGGGCUAUAGCUCAGUGUUAGUGCAUCUGCUUCGCAUGCAAAGGGUCCCAGGUUCAGUCCCCAGCUUCUCCA
rnacentral:tRNA from 1 species